CUCACCUACGUGUAGGUGACUGAAAGUAUCGUACGAAUAAGGAUCGGCUAACUCCGUGCCAGCAGCCGCGGUAAUACGGAGGAUUCAAGCGUUAUCCGGAUUUAUUGGGUUUAAAGGGUGCGUAGGCGGUUUGAUAAGUUAGAGGUGAAAUCCCGGGGCUUAACUCCGGAACUGCCUCUAAUACUGUUGGACUAGAGAGUAGUUGCGGUAGGCGGAAUGUAUGGUGUAGCGGUGAAAUGCUUAGAGAUCAUACAGAACACCGAUUGCGAAGGCAGCUUACCAAACUAUAUCUGACGUUGAGGCACGAAAGCGUGGGGAGCAAACAGGAUUAGAUACCCUGGUAGUCCACGCAGUAAACGAUGAUAACUCGUUGUCGGCGAUACACAGUCGGUGACUAAGCGAAAGCGAUAAGUUAUCCACCUGGGGAGUACGUUCGCAAGAAUGAAACUCAAAGGAAUUGACGGA
rnacentral:rRNA from 1 species